CAGUCGCCGCGGGAAAACGUAGGUGGCAAGCGUUGUCCGGAAUUAUUGGGCGUAAAGGGCUCGCAGGCGGUUUCUUAAGUCUGAUGUGAAAGCCCCCGGCUCAACCGGGGAGGGUCAUCGGAAACUGGGAAACUUGAGUGCAGAAGAGGAGAGUGGAAUUCCACGUGUAGCGGUGAAAUGCGUAGAGAUGUGGAGGAACACCAGUGGCGAAGGCGACUCUCUGGUCUGUAACUGACGCUGAGGAGCGAAAGCGUGGGGAGCGAACAGGAUUAGAGACCCCCGUAGUCCCUGUCUCUUAUAC
rnacentral:rRNA from 1 species